rfam:Marinobacterium stanieri strain DSM 7027 genome assembly, contig: Ga0111666_118
GGGCAGGAUAGGUAUUUGCUAUACCGCCACAAGUGGCGAUCUAGCAAAUACUGCAACUUAUUCGGCCUGGCGGCCUCAACGUAUCCUGUUCUGUUUCAGG